AAGUCAAAUAAAUACAAGUAAGUUAACAAAUAAAGUUCAUGAUGAAAACCAUAGACUCAAAACAAUCAUAAAAUUUCAAUGUCAAUGACAUUUCCUUAAAAUUUCGCUUCGCGCGUUAUAUUUACAUUUGAGUUUUUUUAUUGUACUUCACUCACCAUCAAGUUUAUUAUUAAUUAUUUUAGAAAUUAAUUUUGGUAAAAAGUUAUAAAAUGGCUCCAUGGACGAGUUCAGCAACUCCAGAACAAGUAGAUACACUCCUCAACUUUCUGAACAUCGCGACCCUGCCAGCAAACAUCUGCGAAGUGUAGAAGGCAAGCUCCAAGCGAAGCAACUCUGGGACGAGGUGUCCAACCUCCUAAAUGCCAUGGGCGUUUGCACAAAUACAAACAUGCAGGGGCAAAAAGUUUGGUUUAACACGUUAAACGCCAUGGCAGUCACUGGUGACCGACAUUAGCGGAGGAUUUGCCUUCAACAGUUUUUUAUUGGCAGCCAAUGCCUUAACCGAAAAAGCUGUUGCUGACUCCCGGUGGUUGGCUACAAUGACUGGAGGUGGGCCGGGAACAAGUUAAUACUUUAAUUCUGAAGUAAUCUAGAUAUCUUAUAGCAGAAGCAUAUCGUUAUUUGGAGGAUUAUUAGCUAUAAGCUUAUUCAUACAAAAACAAUGUAAAUGCACAUGUAAGAAACAAUUGUGUAACUUUAAAAUUAUUUGUCUCUCAAAUUAAUGUGUGUUUUAAUUUUGUACUAAUGUCAGUAUUUGUAUGCUGUUAUUGUACUUACGCAUAUAAUGUUAAAUAUUGGAUUAUAUAAUAUAUAAAUAUAUCAGUGAAA